rnacentral:lncRNA from 1 species
CAAGGCCCGAGGACGCUCCCCGCAUAAGAAGGCGGCGCCGGUGAAGACCUCGAGUGCGCCUAAGGCCGGCACGGCCCCAGCACAGACCCCCGUAGUGGCUCCGGCGCCGAAAGGCCCAUCGAGCCCCGGGAUAGGCGCGUCGAGUGAAGAUGAAGGGCUGGAGGAGCCCUCCACUCUGGACACAUUUGAGGCAGCUAAGGACCUCAUUGCAUUGUCCGUUGAGGCCCCUCCACAAACUGAGGAUGCUCCGCCGAAGCUGCCACACAGAGGCAAGCCGGCAAUGGUGCACCCAUCACGGUCACCAUCUCGGCACCGUUCAAGGCACCGGUCCUGGUCAAGCUCCGCCUCGGUGGACUCCCGGUUGCCCUCAGCGCAGAAAGCACCGCAGCAGUCGGGCUUCAACAAGCGGUCGGCACUGACUCAGCAACCAAGCACGAGUCGGCACCGCGAGGCGUCGGCGGUACGUUACCCGAGACCGACCAGCCGUUCCCGGUCCCGCGAUCACCGGUACCGAUCCAGGUCCAGGUCGACGAGACGCUGCUCCAGGUCCUGGUCGCGGAGGCGCUACUCCCCAAACCCGGACCGGCACCGUCCUACGGCUCCGCCGUGGCCUUCCAGGUCACCGUCCGUGGUGUCGGAGACUGACUCGGGCCGGUACGGCGGGUAUGCCCAUAGGGCGCAGGCUAGCAGGGAUCACGAAGCCUGUGGCCAUCCCCAGUGGGGCCAACCGAGCCAAUGGCCGUUCUGGACACCCUGGGCCUACCAUCAACAAGGGCCCCCAUCUAGGACCUCGAGAUCCGGGCCAUCAGGGUACCGAUCCCGCUCCCCGCGGUACCGCCCGCCAUCUCAUAAGGAGGCAAUGGUCUCUAGACCGCAGGAGCGGGAGGGAGUGGACUCGGCACCGAGCACGGUACCGUCCCAGUCCCACACCAUGGGUCAGGCCCCAGAGGAGCAACCGGUCGACGCCGGGUUGCAGGAAGAUGAGGAUGGGCAGAAGGCCCCGACCUCUUCCUCCUCGCCGGAC